UACGUAGGGGGCAAGCGUUGUCCGGAAUUACUGGGCGUAAAGCGCACGUAGGCGGAUUUGUAAGUCAGGGGUGAAAGCCCGGGGCUCAACCCCGGGAGGCGGGUGGAUACUGUCAAGCUCGAGUCCGGAAGAGGCGAGUGGAAUUCCUGGUGUAGCGGUGAAAUGCGCAGAUAUCAGGAGGAACACCAAUGGCGAAGGCAGCUCGCUGGGACGUGACUGACGCUGAGACGCGAAAGCGUGGGGAGCAAACAGG
rnacentral:rRNA from 1 species